rnacentral:lncRNA from 1 species
CGGCAUUGCGAAUGGCGGCGCUCCGAGACCGCCGCCGCCGCCGCACACGCCCCUUAGCAAAAUACCUCCUCUGAGUGUCGUCAUCAAGACCCUUACCGAGGUGCUUGCUGGCCAUGUGCGUUUGCUGCCUGACAAAACAACGAAUAUAAAAACUUGAAUGGGUGCGUGUGUCUUCCUGAACGGAUUGGCUGGUCUGUGGUUUACAUACUCACGCCGAGUUAUGAGGCAGCCAAGCCCCAAGUCGUUGCACAGUUGGGAAUCUUGGUGGUGGUAGGAGGUUGGGGCUUCAGUUGGCUAAUUAACCCCCAUUUGCGACCUUUGUCCUGGCCCAUGGCUGGUGCGGGGAGUGAGUUUAGAGUGGAGGUGAUGAGCCCGUGAUUAGCUUUGUUCGCAUGGUGUCGCGGAGGUCGGGCACGGGUCUUUGUACCACGUAUCUGCCCUAACUGAACAGCGC